AAAGGGGGGCGUAACUGGGCCGCCAAAAAAUGAGCUUGCUACUUGGCUGGCGAGUGGCGGACGGGUGAGGAAUACAUCGGAAUCUACUCUGUCGUGGGGGAUAACGUAGGGAAACUUACGCUAAUACCGCAUACGACCUACGGGUGAAAGCAGGGGAUCUUCGGACCUUGCGCGAUUGAAUGAGCCGAUGUCGGAUUAGCUAGUUGGCGGGGUAAAGGCCCACCAAGGCGACGAUCCGUAGCUGGUCUGAGAGGAUGAUCAGCCACACUGGAACUGAGACACGGUCCAGACUCCUACGGGAGGCAGCAGUGGGGAAUAUUGGACAAUGGGCGCAAGCCUGAUCCAGCCAUACCGCGUGGGUGAAGAAGGCCUUCGGGUUGUAAAGCCCUUUUGUUGGGAAAGAAAUCCAGCUGGCUAAUACCCGGUUGGGAUGACGGUACCCAAAGAAUAAGCACCGGCUAACUUCGUGCCAGCAGCCGCGGUAAUACGAAGGGUGCAAGCGUUACUCGGAAUUACUGGGCGUAAAGCGUGCGUAGGUGGUCGUUUAAUCCGUUGUGAAAGCCCUGGGCUCACCUGGGAACUGCGGUGGAUACUGCACGACUAAGUGGGAAAGGGUAGCGGAUUUCCGGUGAGC
rnacentral:rRNA from 1 species